UUAACAACAGGAAUGCAAAACCAUAAGGAAAAAAAGGAAAGUUUAUUAAAAUUGUCUGAUAUUUGGGUCUUAAACAGUGCCUCCUAACAAUUUUUCAGGACAGGUACCAUGGGUGUGAUUGCAAGCAGAGUUACUGCGGAAGGGAAGAUCUGUUCAGAAACCUCUUUGGGAAGGAGCUGGAAAUGAGGCCAGAUCAUUGUGCAGAAAGAGCACACACUGCAGUUUCCAUAUACUGCUUUAAUGGCCAGAUUACAAAAGAAGGUGGACAUUUUAUGGAGUCCUUGUGGACACAUGGUGCCACUUCUUCAGGAAACUGUCUUUGCCUGUACAGCAGCCCCUCAGCUUUCCCUGACCACUCUCCAGGCCCAUGUGAUUCUCAAGACAGAGCAUUCAGGCUGAAGUGGUUUAAAAUGAUGUAGCUAACAGAAGAACAGUACCAGAAAAUGUCAAGGAGGCUGAAAGAAAAUGAAGCACAUUUCCCAUCUCCUGGAAGCCAUGAAGAAAUAUAUAUUUAAAUAGAAAUCUUUGCAAUUAGCAGCUCCAGUGCACAGUGGCUCUUCUUGUAAGAUCUGUUUUUCUUAUUUUAAGUGUUCCUUAAAGUGCUAUUUUAUUCUUGCAGAACUGCUGGUGUUCUCUGUACUUGCCAUCAUCCUUUUUAGAAGCGUAAACUCUCUACUGUUAUUACAGUUUCAGUAGCAUUUGGACUUUUAACAUAUUUGCAAGCUUUCUUUGUCAGAAUAAAUGAACAAAAUUAUUCA
rnacentral:lncRNA from 1 species